rnacentral:rRNA from 1 species
AGUGGAUGGGGAGCAACCUAUGUUGUGCGUGUGUAAAGGUAGUGCCAAGAAAAGCGAUGAUCAUGUUGAAAAUCAAUUCCCGGUACCCGAAACCGACACAGGUGGGCAAGUAGAGAAUACUAAGGGGCGCGAGGUAACUCUCUCCAAGGAACUCGGCAAAAUGACCCCGUAACUUAGGGAGAAGGGGUGCCACCGAGAGGUGGUCGCAGUGAAGAGGCCCAGGCGACUGUUUAGCAAAAACAUAGGUCUCUGCAAACUCGAAAGAGGAGGUAUAGGGGCUGACGCCUGCCCAGUGCCGGAAGGUUAAAGAAGUUGGUCAGUUUUAGGAUGAAGCUAGCGACUGAAGCCCCGGUAACGGCGGCCGUAACUAUAACGGUCCUAAGGUAGCGAAAUUCCUUGUCGGGUAAGUUCCGACCCGCACGAAAGGCGUAACGAUCUGGGCGCUGUCUCGGAGAGAGGCUCGGCGAAAUAGGAUUGUCUGUGAAGAUACGGACUACCUGCAUUUGGACAGAAAGACCCUAUGAAGCUUUACUAUAGCUUGGAAUUGUGUUCGGGCUUCCUGUGUGCAGGAUAGGUGGGAGGCGUAGAAGGUAUUCUUGUGGGGAUACUGGAGCCAACGGUGAGAUACCACUCUCAGGAGGCUAGAAUUCUAACUUAAUUAAGGACAGUUUCAGGUGGGUAGUUUGACUGGGGCGGUCGCCUCCAAAAAGGUAACGGAGGCGUACAAAGGUUCCCUCAGACUGGUUGGAAAUCAGUCGAAGAGUGCAAAGGCAGAAGGGAGCUUGACUGCGAGAAGUACAGUUCGAGCAGGGUGGAAACACGGUCUUAGUGAUCCGACGGUGCUGUGUGGAAGGGCCGUCGCUCAACGGAUAAAAGUUACUCUAAGGAUAACAGGCUGUUCUCCCCCAAGAGUUCACAUCGACGGGGAGGUUUGGCACCUCGAUGUCGGCUCAUCGCAACCUGGGGCGGAAGUACGUCCCAAGGGUUGGGCUGUUCGCCCAUUAAAGCGGUACGUGAGCUGGGUUCAGAACGUCGUGAGACAGUUCGGUCCAUAUCCGAUGUAGGCGUGAGAAUAUUGAGAGGAGCCUUCCUUAGUACGAGAGGACCGGGAAGGACGCACCGCUGGUGUACCUGUUAUGAUGCCAAUUGUAAACGCAGGGUAGCCAAGUGCGGAGAGGAUAACCGCUGAAAGCAUCUAAGUGGGAAGCCCACCUCAAGAUGAGUAUUCUGGUGUAAGGUCACGGGAAGACGACCCGUAAAUAGGCACGAGGUGGAAGUGCAGAGAUGUAUGAAGCCGAAGUGUACUAAUAGACCGUCGGCUUGACC